rnacentral:rRNA from 1 species
CCUACGGGAGGCAGCAGUGGGGAAUAUUGCGCAAUGGGCGAAAGCCUGACGCAGCGACGCCGCGUGAGGGAUGAAGGUCUUCGGAUCGUAAACCUCUGUCAGCAGGGAAGAACGGUCACUGUGCUAAUCAGCAGUGAAUUGACGGGACCUGCAAAGGAAGCACCGGCUAACUCCGUGCCAGCAGCCGCGGUAAUACGGAGGGUGCGAGCGUGUCUCGGAAGUACUGGGCGUAAAGCGCUCGUAGGCGGUAUGUCAAGUCAAGGGUGAAAUCCCCGCGCGCAACGUGGGAACUGCCUUUGAAACUGGCAAACUGGAGUGUGUGAGAGGAUAGUGGAAUUCCAGGUGUAGGAGUGAAAUCCGUAGAUAUCUGGAGGAACAUCAGUGGCGAAGGCGACUAUCUGGCACAUAACUGACGCUGAGGAGCGAAAGCGUGGGUAGCAAACAGGAUUAGAUACCCUAGUAGUC